rnacentral:lncRNA from 1 species
AGGCUGAAAUUGUGAACCUUGGCCACUCCCAAUUAAAAUUCUCUUCUCUCAUUUGGGACACUGAAGGGCAUCUUUCACCCCCAGCUGUCAAAUAGAAACAUAGAAAGCAACUCAACAUAGCCUUCAACAACCAGGAACUGUAGAAAAAGAAUUUGCAAACAUUGCACAUUCUCCUUUGUUGCUUCAAAUAUGUGGUAUCUUCUAGGAACUGGGCCCAGAGUCUCACUGUGUCGCCCAGGCUGGAGUGCAAGUGGCAUGAUCUUGGCUCACAACUGCAACCUCCGUCUCCCGGGUUCAAACGAUUCUCCUACCUCAGCCUCCCGAAUAUCUGGGAUUACAGGUGCCCACCACCAUGCCUGGAUAAUUUUUAAAAAUAUUUUUAGUAGAGACAGGGUUUCACCAACUAGGCCAGGCUGCUCUUGAACUCCUGACCUCAGGUAAUCCACCCGCCUUGGCCUCCCAAAAUGCUGGGAUUACAGGUGUGAGCCACCGCGCCUGACCAACUUUAGCUUUUCAAAAUCUGUCUUCGUAGACGAUAAUGGAAAUAUCUACCAAAGCUAAAUAUUCACCUACCCCAUGACCCAGCAAUUUUACUCCUAGGUAUAUAUACCAAAAAAAAUGAGUGUUCUGUGUCCACUAGAGAUAUGUGCCAAAGUGUUCAUAAUAGAUCCAAACUGGAAACAGCUCAAAUGUCCAUCAAUAGCAGAAAGAUAAACAAAUGUUGGGAUGUUCAGAGCUUGAAAUAUGACACAAUAUAAAAGGACAAACUAUUAAAACUCACAACAGCAUGGAUAAAUCUUACAGACAUAAUUAUUGAGCAAAAGAUACCAGAAACACAAAAGUAUAUACUGUCUGAUUCCUUUAAAUAAAGGUUAAGAUGAUUCUCCCUCCUGCAGCCUUGUGAAGAAGGUGCCUUUCUUCCCCUUCGCCUUCUGCCAUGAUUGUAAGUUUCCUGAGGCCUCCCCAGCCAUGUUGAAUUCUCAUUGUCCCUGAUAAAAUAGCACCCUCUCUUCCUCUGCUCUUCCACCCUUUUCCUCUUCCGCUGUGCAACUGAAGACUGGGAAAGAAUGACAUGCAAAAUAAGAGGUUUUGGAUUCAGCGUAGGACUAACUACUGGAUGCUACUUACAGAAAACUUUAUAUUUGUGCUGAAAAAUCUUGUUAUCUAGGUGAAAGCCAAUGCUAUCCUAAUGACAAAAUUGUUGGGGAAAUAAAUUUAUAAGAGACUUUAUUUAAAGAAAUAAAAGAAAAAAUAAUAA